rnacentral:rRNA from 1 species
GACGAACGCUGGCGGCGUGCUUAACACAUGCAAGUCGAACGGAAAGGCCCUGCUUUUGUGGGGUGCCCGAGUGGCGAACGGGUGAGUAACACGGGAGUAACCUGCCCUUGACUUUGGGAUAACUUCAGGAAACGGGGCCUAAUCCCGGAUAGGAGCUCCUGCUCCAUGGUGGGGGUUGGAAAGUUUCGGCGGUUGGGGAUGGACUCGCGGCUUAUCGGCUUGUUGGUGGGGUAGUGGCUUACCAAGGCUUUGACGGGUAGCCGGCCUGAGAGGGUGACCGGCCACAUUGGGACUGAGAUACGGCCCAGACUCCUACGGGAGGCAGCAGUGGGGAAUAUUGCACAAUGGGCGGAAGCCUGAUGCAGCAACGCCGCGUGCGGGAUGACGGCCUUCGGGUUGUAAACCGCUUUCGCCUGUGACGAAGCGUGAGUGACGGUAAUGGGUAAAGAAGCACCGGCUAACUACGUG